rnacentral:lncRNA from 1 species
UUUUUAUUUUUUAAAUAGAGAUGGGGUCUGUAUGUUGACCAGGCUGGUCUCAAACUCCUGGCGUCAAGCAGCCCUCCUGCCUCAGCCUCCCAAAGUGCUGGGAUUAGAGGCGUGAGCCACCACAUCCAGCCUCCGUCUGGUACUAUUUAUGGUCUUUGUGCAUUUGUACAGUGAGAAUUUAUCUUUGGGAUUGAUCUUGUAUGAACUUAUUAUGAAUCAUUAAAAAAAGGUUAUGCUCACCAGGACACCAACAUGUAGUAGGAGAGGAUCUUAAGGCAUGCCAGAGUCAGAUUCUUAGGGCUGUUGAUUCAUAAACUCCACUUUCUUCCUGUUUAUUUUGACUGUAAGGCUAAACCUCUGGUAAAGGUACUGCCUUUUAGGUUACUAAAAGCUUUUGCUUUACUACUCCCCCCCUUUUUUUUUGUUUUUUGUUUUGUUUUUGUUUUUGUUUUCGAGACAGUCUCGCUCUGUACCCCAGGAUGGAGUGCAGUGGCAUAAUCUUGGCUCACUACAACGUUUGCCUCCUGGGUUCAAGCGAUUCUCCUGCCUCAGCCUCCUGAGUAGCUGGGAUUACAGGGGAUCAUCGUCUUGCUCUUCUUUUAUCUCAGUUUGUGGGUAGCCAGUCAGUCCGGGAGCUGCUCACCAUGCAGUUGGUGGACUGGCAUCAGCUCCAAGCAGACUCCUUCAUCCAGGAUGAGAGACUGCGCAUCUU